rnacentral:rRNA from 1 species
ACACGUAGGGGCCUGACGUUGUUCGGAAUCAUUGGGCGUAAAGGGCGCGCAGGCGGCCGUCCAAGUCCGGUGUUAAAUGGUCGGGCUCAACCCGAUCAUGCACUGGAAACUGGGCGGCUGGAGUCCCGGAGGGGAUGCCGGAAUUCCAGGUGUAGGGGUGAAAUCUGUAGAUAUCUGGAAGAACGCCGAUGGCGAAGGCAGGCAUCUGGCCGGAGACUGACGCUGAGGCGCGAAGGCGCGGGGAGCGAACAGGUUUAGAUACCCUGGUAGUCCGCGCAGUAAACGAUGCGCACCAGGUGUCGGGCGGCAGCGCCCGGUACCGGAGCAAACGCGAUGAGUGCGCCGCCUGGGGAGUAUGCCCGCAAGGGUGAAACUCAAAUGAAUUGACGGGG